rnacentral:rRNA from 1 species
CNGCCAUGCCGCGUGCAGGAAGANUGCCCUAUGGGUUGUAAACUGCUUUUAUACAGGAAGAAACACUAGUACGUGUACUAGCUUGACGGUACUGUAAGAAUAAGGACCGGCUAACUCCGUGCCAGCAGCCGCGGUAAUACGGAGGGUCCGAGCGUUAUCCGGAAUCAUUGGGUUUAAAGGGUCCGCAGGCGGUCAAUUAAGUCAGAGGUGAAAUCCCAUAGCUCAACUAUGGAACUGCCUUUGAUACUGGUUGACUUGAGUCAUAUGGAAGUAGAUAGAAUGUGUAGUGUAGCGGUGAAAUGCAUAGAUAUUACACAGAAUACCGAUUGCGAAGGCAGUCUACUACGUAUGUACUGACGCUGAGGGACGAAAGCGUGGGGAGCGAACAGGAUUAGAUACCCUGNUAG